AGAGAGAUGGAUGAGUGGUUUAAGUCACGUAACUAGAAAUUACGUAUAGAAUUUUUCUAUCGAGGGUUCGAAUCCCUCUCUCUCUA
rnacentral:tRNA from 1 species